rnacentral:rRNA from 1 species
UACGGAGGGUGCAAGCAUUGAUCGGAAUUAUUGGGCGUAAAGGGCGCGUAGGCGGUUAGGAAAGUCAGAUGUGAAAUUCCGGGGCUCAACUUCGGAGCUGCAUUUGAAACUUCCUUUCUAGAGUUCAGUUAGGGAAAACGGAAUUCCACGUGUAGCGGUGAAAUGCGUAGAUAUGUGGAAGAACAUCGGUGGUGAAGACGGUUUUCUGGGGUGAUACUGACGCUAAGGCGCGAAAGCAAGGGGAGCAAACAGG